UAGGGAAUAUUGCGCAAUGGACGAAAGUCUGACGCAGCGAUGCCGCGUGAGUGAUGACGCCUUUCGGGGUGUAAAACUCUGUCAAGAGGGAAGAUUGUGACGGUACCUCUAAAGGAAGCAACGGCUAAUUACGUGCCAGCAGCCGCGGUAAUACGUAAGUUGCAAGCGUUAUCCGAAUUUACUGGGCAUAAAGAGUGCGUAGGCGGUAUAUUAAGUCAGAUGUUAAAUUCUACAGCUCAACUGUAGCCUGCAUCUGAAACUGAUAUACUAGAGGCUAGGAGAGGAAAGCGGAACUCACAGUGUAGCGGUGAAAUGCGUAGAUAUUGUGAGGAACACCAGUGGCGAAGGCGGCUUUCUGGACUAGUUCUGACGUUGAGGCACGAAAGCAUGGGGAGCGAACGGG
rnacentral:rRNA from 1 species